GUACUAGUCUUCUAGUACAUGUACUAAAACUGGAAUGAUACAGAGAAGAUUAGCAUGGCCCCUGGUGCAAGGAUGACAUGCAAACUUGUGAAGCAUUCCUAUUUUUC
rfam:Oryzias latipes DNA, chromosome2, strain: Hd-rR.